rnacentral:ribozyme from 1 species
GUUGAAUUACAGGUUUAUCAUGGACGAAUUAAUUGAAGUGAAAGCGACAACUUGGCUGGCAAUCAUUUUUUUCUUAUUGACGCAGGGAAUCAUGGCCCGUUUCAUACAUUCCAACUUGCACAUGACGGUUUCUUGGGCCGUCUGGUGCCAGGUGCUUUUUGCGACUGUGCCAGCGUUGAAUUAUUAUCU